GGGCAGUGGUGUCACACACGGCCACACAGCUGCCAGCAGCCCGGACAGGAAUUCCCAGCCCGAAUUCCUCUGGGAUAGAAAUGUGCACACUCACACAGAGCAGCUCCCUUCAGAGGUUCGGGUCUGCCAGCCCCUGCCGUGGAGCAAGCAAAGUGAAACAGAAACCACUCUGCACGGCCAGGUAGAGCCAAAAGCUGCCCCCCAGGAGGGGAAGAGCAGGAAGCAGAUGGGAAGUGCCCCGGAUCCCACUGGGCUCUCGCCCCGCUAUGGGGAUGCCCAAAGUUCUCUCUCUGAGGAGGUCUCUGCUUUCCGCGAGCUCCCAGGCAGGGCGCAGAUGCUCGAGGGUUGAAUUCCUGUUUCCCGUGAAUCUGCUGCCAUCCCGUGGCAAAUCCUGCGAUGGCACCCCGGCCACGCCUGGAGAAGGGAGGGAGCCCCUCAGUGCCAUGGGAGGCCAAGGCAGAGCACCAGCAGCCCUGGGAGUGGUGGCAGAACCGAACUGCACCUGGACAGAUUGGCACAGGCAUCGCCCAGCCCUGGGGCACAGAUUUAUCCCUCAGUGGGCCAUUAAAUAAUUUGUCACGAAUGCCGAACUGCUACUGGAGAGAAAGAAAAGCCUGGAGUUGCAGGCAGGAUUACACAACCGAGCUCCGUGGGCAGAGCAGUUCCAAUUGCCAUCAACACCUGCCCGGGCCCAGAACACACUCGGGUCACCCCAAACUGAAGCUCAGGUCAAAAGGAAAUUAAAUAGAGGCAUACAAAGCCCUGCCCAUGGGUGGUGCUGGCAGGAGAUGCACAUACAGUACUCACACUUCAAUGCGGAACACAAAAUACGUUUUAAAAGUUGUGCUUUGCAGUUUGGCUCCUCUUACCUGCUUUCCCUUUUCAGCACAGAGGAGGGGAAGGGUCAGAGAACGUCAAGCUGACUUUGUCCGAGAUGUACAAGCAGAUGUUUCUGCACUCGGGUGACUCUGUUUGUGUCAGGGACUUUGUACUGAACUCCUUUGCUGCACCCCAACCCAAUGUGAGCCUGUCCCAGGCUCAGGGAGGAGCACCGGGCGUUCUCUCCUAUUCCCUUGUGUCCCGCUAUUGAGGCACCUUCGUUCUUCCCCCGCUCGAGACCCCAAAGUGUAACUCCUGCCAGCCAGACCGACACGAUUCCUUUUCCUUCUCCUUUACCUCCCUAUUUCUCGCUCCAUCUGACACACCUGCUUGAAAAACAAACGCGGUCCCAUCAGCCCAGAAUUCAUUUCAAAUAAACAUAUAAAAGACCUUUUAUUGACAUGAAUAAAUUGAUUGGGACCAUUACUUUGUAGCUGCUUGCCACAGAAAAAAGCCUCUCAAAGGCAGCCCGAGGCAGGGCAGCAACAUUUACAUUUAGAUGAAGGCAUUUCUGUCACAACACCUCCCAACAGUUUCUGGCCCUGCUACUGUCUCCAGAAGAAAUCAGUGAAGCCAGGGAGCUUGGCUUUAAAUAACAUAGAUGGAAAAGGGAGAAUUUGUUUCUGCAAUCCACUGAAUGUUGUAGUCUGGAAUCACACAAUCUGCAGCAAAGGAAUGUGAAAGCAGAGUGGUGACACCACAGCGUGUUCCUUUACUCCUGGGGGUCCUCUGGCCCUGCCUCAGACACUGCUGCUGAUGUCCAUUCCAUUUAAAACACUGCUGCUGAUGUCCAUUCCAUUUAAAACACUGCUGCUCAUGUCCAUUUCAUUUAAAACACUCCUGCUGAUGUCCAUUUUAUUUGCCACUCCAUAAAGAGCACUAAGCUGUGAAGGAGUGAACUAGAGAGAAGGAUAAAAGUGACAGCUGGAUGACACUAAAACAAUCCAACUUAGAGGAAGCAAAAAUCCACCGAGGGUAUUUUGAAAGCUGCAAUCCAGCCACAUUACCAAGGCAAGAGCAGCAGAUUCCUUGUGACUGCCCAGCCUUUGAAACUGGGGCUCAUUCCAACAAACUGCAAGGCCGGAGAAACCUCCAUCCUCCAGAUUUGACUAAUAGUCUGUUCCAGCAGAACCAGGACCCCGGGCAAAGUGAAAUACAGCUCCCCUGGCAUCACACCGAGCUGUUUCCCAAGGCCAGCCCAUCAGUUUAUCCAUGAUUUCUCUGCCAAGCACACAGGGCAGGGAGCGGAGCCUGGCAGCCACAGGAGGGUUCACAGCUGCACCUCUGCAGAGAACGCUCCUUCCUGCUGACAUUGCCACAGGUGAGGACACGGGACAAACACUGGAAGAGCUAACAAAUGGUGGAAUGGAAUUGCAGAAACUGGAAAGACACAACAAAGUCACCCAGAGUAACAGAACAGGCAACAAUCAGUUCAAUCUUUCCUCAUCUUUGACAGCUGCACUCCUGAGCCACCCAAGGGUGCCUUGGUGCUUAGAGAAGCACACUACUGCAUUAAUAUUAACAAACAGCAAAGUUAUUUGUGCUUACCAUGAAGCUGGGCUUGAUUCAAUGUCCUAAAAUUUACAUACUCUGGCUUUAGAAACCUGAAAUGUGUAAAACAAUCAAAUCCUGUCCUGGAUGUGACUCCUGCCUGCCAAGUGUCCUCCCCUCAUUAAAUGCUAUCUUUUGUGGUGUCUUUUCCUGAGCCUCUCCCACGACUCAUCUGACCAGAAAAUGGAUCAAUAUUUAUUGUGAAGACUCAUUUCUCUCAUUUGUGAGGCCCAAGGAGGACAGUGCCUGGCUCAUGUUGUGUCAGAAACCUGCUCUGCACCAGCAUUCAGGUGCCACAGGUGACCAUUCUAGAAUUCAGUUUUGUAAAAACCUCUGAGAGUUCACGCAGGUAAUUUUUUUUUUUUGCCAGAUUCCUUCACUGGAUAUUUCUCUAGGGAGAAAGAGGGAAAGAGUAGCUGAAUUUGCAGGGGCCAAGUUACCACUUCUACAGAGAUCAGCACUUGCAGAGAAUAAAAAAAUAACCAGGCUAAUUGUCCACGUGGGACCCGUGGUUUGCAUUACAUUGCUUUUAUCUUUUGCUCCAGUUUGGUUUUGCAAAGUCAACACCAUGAGAAAAAUCAGCUUUAAUGAAGGAGGGACACGAGCAGCACAGCAGAUUGCAAAGGCUGCCCUGGACGUGCAGGGCCCCUCCAAAGGCUCUUCCCCCCUUCAGACGCCGUUUCUGAUCCCCGAAGGUGAGAAACCACCCCAAGGCCAGACCCAGCCCAGACCAGCGGGGCUGUCUCAGCCUCACCUGUCCCCCAGGAGCACACGGCACAGGAAACACCUGGGAUUUUGUGCAGGACAGCUGCCUGGGACAGAUGGACGAGCGCCGUGUGUGCAGCCACUUGGACAGAGGACAAAAAGCCCCUGGGGGUAAAAGUCCUCUCCAGCCCCGUCCCCGUGGAAUUCAUCGUUUUACAUCUGGAAACUUAGAACCUGUUAAGCAGCACAGGGCAGCCUGAGCCCGCUCAAGUUCUACACUGAGCACAAGGAAUUAAAAAAGAAAUGUCAAAAUAAAUAGCACAGGCUCGGAAAAAGCACUUUCAGAAGCUAUUUCCAGCAGACAAGAGCUGACCUUCCCCUCAUAAAAUGCCACGGGGUAUAAAUAGAGCAGCCUGUCAUGCCAUUUGUCAUGAGGCCCUGUCUGCCUGCCCCGAGCCCACUGCAGCAACAGCACACUGUGCUCAGAGCAACAAUUACCCUCAGCUGGAGUCAAAACACCCAUUCCUGAUCAAUCCCGCAGCAGAAGCAGAGCAGGGAGGAACCUCCCCACCUCCCUCCUGACCAAACACCGCUUCUGCAAAGCUCCCUGUGCCAUCCCAACGCUUCCCUGGCUUCUGGAGAUGCUGAUCCUCACCAGCUCCUGAACGCUCACCAGUCACCCACUGGGGCAGCCACCACCCUGGCACAAAAACUUGAUGGAACUGGAAGGCAGAUUUCAGCUUUUCAGAAGGCAGCGAGCAGAUGAGUUACUGUGCAUCUCCCUCUCUGCAGUUACCCCUUUGGAGGGCAGCUCGGGGUCACUUGUGUUCAACACUGGCACAAAUAACUCCUCUCAGGAAAAAACAAUUCCCAAAAAUGCAGCCCCUGGGGCAUGCACAGUGUAUUGCACUGGCAGCUGAGCAGCAGAGCAGCAAUGCAACUCGAGGAUGCAGAGAUGGAACUGGACACGAUGUUGGCGUUUGUGUACUGUGUAUUAAAAACAAAAUUAUCUCAAAGAGGGAAAAAAAUGAAGCCAAGAAAAGACAGGUUUGAAUCAGA